CCUACGGGAGGCAGCAGUGGGGAAUUUUGCGCAAUGCCCGAAAGGGUGACCCAGCAACGCCGCGUGGAGGAUGAAGUCCUUCUGGACGUAAACUCCUUUUAGAGGGGACGAAAAGCCCGAUUUGUCGGGAAUUGACGGUACCCUCAGAAAAAGCACCGGCUAACUACGUGCCAGCAGCCGCGGUAAUACGUAGGGUGCAAGCGUUGUCCGGAUUCACUGGGUGUAAAGGGUGCGCAGGCGGGCUCUUAAGUCAAAGGUAAAAUCUCUCGGCUUAACCGAGAAAUGGCCUUUGAUACGGAGAGCCUUGAGUACGGGGAAGGGAGAUGAAAUUCCAGGUGUAGCGGUAAAAUGCUUAGAUAUCUGGAGGAACACCGGAGGCGAGGGCGGUCUCCUGGCCCGUUACUGACGCUCAGGCACGAAAGCGUGGGGAGCAAACAGGUUUAGAUACCC
rnacentral:rRNA from 1 species